GGGUCGUUAGCUCAGUUGGUAGAGCAGCGGACUUUUAAUCCGUUGGUCGCUGGUUCGAGUCCAGCACGGCCUACCA
rnacentral:tRNA from 1 species